rnacentral:rRNA from 1 species
CCUACGGUGUGCAGCAGUGAGGAAUAUUGGUCAAUGGCCGGAAGGCUGAACCAGCCAUGCCGCGUGAAGGUCAGUGCCCUAUGGGCGUUAAACUUCUUUUGUGCGGGAGCAAUAAUGGUCACGUGUGGCCAGACGAGAGUACCGUACGACUAAGCAUCGGCUGACUCCGUGCCAGCAGCCGCGGUAUACGGGGGAUUCUAGCGUUGUCCGGGUUUAUUGGGUUUAAAGGGUGCGUAGGCGGUGAGGUAAGUCAGCGGUGAAAUGCCCCCGCUCAACGGGGUGAAGUGCAAUUGAUACUGCCUUGCGGGAAUGCGGAUGCCGUGGGAGGAAUGUGUGGUGUAGCGGUGAAAUGCAUAGAUAUCACACAGAACACCGAUUGCGAAGGCAUCUCACGAAUCCGCGAUUGACGCUGAUGCACGAAAGCGUGGGUAUCAAACAGGAGUAGAUACCCCUGUAGUC